GGUCUGAAAUUUGAAGUGAGGCCUGUGGCCUCUUGGGAAAUGUAGUUUAGCAAGGGGGCACCCAUCUUGUUGCAGGCUUCUUCUCAUCACUAAGGAAAUUAAAGGAGAUAUUUUUACUAAGAGUUUACUUUUAUUUACUUUUUAAUCCUGAAUGGCAGGUCUUUAAGCAGUAUCUUUUUAGAUGUGACUUGACCAAGCCCUUUUCUAAUUGAAAAGAAAAUUUGAAUUCCUAGGGAGGAGAUUAUGGGUAAUCUGCUGCUUUAAAAAGGCAUGAGCGAGCACUUUUUUGGUUUAAUUUAAUAGGGGUUGCAUGGUGAGCUCUUGAGAGAAAGAAAAAAUGCUGAUGGCAUUGAGGUUAGAAAAGUGGAUGUUUUUAUCAUAUCAGAGAGUAUAGAUAGAGUCCUUUGGCAGGGUUUUCUUUGAGCUGGGCACUCUAGAUGUAAGAAAUCCAGACAAGAACAGAUUUUGGCCAAAAUAGAGGGAGUAGAAUAACCUCUAGCAAAGGUUGAACAAAUGCUGCUCAGGAGAGUGAGGAGGUCCUAAGCAUUCGAUCUGCAAAUGUUUUCUCUGUAGCUACACAAUUCCCUUAGAGAAAAGUUCCUGUCCAAGGCAUUGUCUGGGCUGUUCACAGAAUGGGGUAUAGACCCAAUAUGCAGGCCACAAUAGGGUCUGCAGUACUGAAGACUCAGGGGACUGAUGCAGGCAGUGUGCUCAUUUCUCCCAAACACAAAACAUCUUGUACGUUCUUCAGCUGGCCAUUUGUGUAGUAGCACUUCAUUCUAGUGGUAGUGACAUUAUUGAGAGAGAGAUGAGUUAGAAAUGACUCCAGAGAUCAUUAAAAUCUCCAUGGAAGAGGAAAGAAAGAAGACUUAUUUGGCAAGCUAGAAUUGCUCAACACCAGGCAAAUUGCAUGAACUGAAUAAAAAGAAAUGUGCCAGGGUUAAUUCUCGAGUAGACCACCAAGUAAACUCUUUGGCCAGAAACAUAAGAUCUUCACUAAACUGUCCUAUUCCUGUUUUCUCUGCACUCCUAAUACAUAUACUUAUUGUAUGCUCAAAUGCUAUGCACCAUUCUUUAAAUUUCAAGCUAAUGGAAAAAUCUGUUUUAUAUUGUUGUUAGGGUGCGUGUAACUUCAGCUAAAUGCUGGGAAAGUGCAGGAAAUCAAUAGGGUUCUAUUUUGCAUAAAAUUAGCAGUGUGGAAUUUAAGUGACUGCCUUCUGUACACAAUUUAAUUAUGGGAAGCAUGACCCCCUUUGAAACUGAG